UGUCACUGAGAGAUCAGCCCGCCCCCGAUUAGCUUGUUGGUGGGGUAACGGCCUACCAAGGCAGUAAUCGGUAGCUGGUUUAAGAGGAUGGUCAGCCACACUGGGACUGAGAUACGGGGCAGACUCCUACGGGGGGCAGCAGUCUAGGAGCUUCUACAAUGGACGAAAGUCUGGUAGAGCGACGCCGCGUGUGGGAAGACGGCCUUACGGUUGUAAACCACUGUCAGCAGGGAAGAAUGCCUGAAUGGUGAAUUCGGGAGAGACGGUACCUGCAGAGGAAGCCCCGGCUAACUCCGUGCCAGCAGCCGCGGUAAUACGGAGGGGGCAAACGUUGUUCGGAAUCACUGGGCUUAAAGGGUGCGUAGGCGGUUCGGUAAGUCUGAUGUGAAAUCUCCUCGCUCAACGGGGAACCCGCAUUGGAAACUGCUGAACUCGAGAGUGGGAGAGGCAGGUGGAAUUCCUGGUGUAGCGGUGGAAUGCGCAGAUAUCAGGAAGAACACUCGUGGCGAAGGCGGCCUGCUGGACCAUUUCUGACGCUGAGGCACGAAAGCCAGGGGAGCGAACGGGAUUAGAUACCCCGGUAGUCCUGGCCGUAAACUGUGAACACUAGGUGUCGGGGGCAUCGACCCCUUCGGUGCCGACGCAAACGCAUUAAGUGUUCCGCCUGGGGAGUACGGUCGCAAGACUGAAACUCAAAGGAAUUGACGGGGGCCCGCACAAGCGGUGGAGGAUGUGGUUUAAUUCGACGCAACGCGAAGAACCUUACCUGGGCUUAAACCGCAGGGUAAACCCCUCGAAAGAGGGGCUGCUUCGGCGAUCCUGUAGAGGUGCUGCAUGGCUGUCGUCAGCUCGUGUCGUGAGAUGUUGGGUUAAGUCCCGCAACGAGCGCAACCCUUGUCUCUAGUUACCAGCGGUUCGGCCGGGGACUCUAGAGAGACUGCCGUCGUAAGGCGGAGGAAGGUGGGGACGACGUCAAGUCCGCAUGGCCCUUAUGUCCAGGGCUACACACGUCCUACAAUGGCCGGUACAGUGAGUUGCGACACCGCGAGGUGAAGCUAAUCUCUUAAAGCCGGUCCCAGUUCGGAUUGUAGUCUGCAACUCGACUGCAUGAAGUCGGAAUCGCUAGUAAUCGCGGAUCAGCAUGCCGCGGUGAAUACGUUC
rnacentral:rRNA from 1 species